rnacentral:misc_RNA from 1 species
UUUCCGUAGGUGAACCUGCGGAAGGAUCAUUCAUAAUAAAGUGUUUUAUGGCACUUUUUAAAAAUCCAUAUCCACCUUGUGUGCAAUGUUAGAUCUCGUCAAUCUUGGCGAGAUUUUUAUACAUCAACUCAUUUUUUAACUAAUUUGUCUGAAAAAUAUUAUGGAUACUUAAUUCAAAAUACAACUUUCAACAACGGAUCUCUUGGCUCUC